CAGGGGAAUGAUGUACUAUCAUCAAGCUCUACAGCUGCUAGCUUUUCUUGAUUCUUCAUCGGAUACGGAUAAUUCGG